rnacentral:rRNA from 1 species
AGCCCAAUAGCUAGCCCCC